AACGUGGUGGUGGUGUUGGUGGUGCCGCCUUCAGAGAUUAGUCGUGGUUAUGGCCGCCCUAGCUUGACCACCACAGACUUGGCCGUGGGUCCUAAUACAGGCCCUGACUGGUUUUCCCCUCAGAAAACGCAUUAUUCUGAUUUUCCAAUAAGGAUCAUCAUAACUAAAACUGUUGCGGGGCUGCUGGUCCAUACGCCACUUGGAAGCUCGGGCUAGUAAAAUCCCUGACUCAUUUUUCCCCUCAGAAAAGAUGAGUCGUUGGGCAACCUUCAGAGAUAAGCCAUGGGCCUGGUAGUAUUAAUACUAUUACCACCACAUAGAUGCUCUGACUGGCUUUCCCCUCAGGAAGCAAGUUGUUGUUCUGGCCCUCAAAGAGUACUGUUGUUAUUCAGUAAUACUGUACUGUUAUCGUCGCCAGUACAUACUUGGAAGCGAGCCCUAGUAGAAGCCCUGAGUUGCUUUUCCCUCAGAAAAUAUUUUGGUACUGUUCUGACCUUCAAAGGGUUAUUAUUACUGUGUUGCCACUUCUAGUAAGAGGUACCGUCCACCCCAGUCACCAGGAUUUUGGACAAGAGGAGGCCUCAGGGGUUAGGAAACAGUGUCGAAGAAGCCUUGCCUGAGGGAGCUGGAAGGGGCACCCAAGGGUCAUCUAGUCCACCCCCCGCUGACCAGUCAGUACAGGAAGUCCACCGCUAAGCAGUCUUUCAGAAUUUUGCUUAUGAUUGGUGCAUAUAAAGAAGAAUUUCAUUUUACUGAUUACUUCUGCUUUGGCUGAUCACAUGGACCAGGCUUUCUGAGCAGGAUACCUUCCCAGAUUUUCGGAGGACAUCUCCCAGCAUUCCUCAUCACUGUUUGCAUUAGUAGAGGAAUUAUAGUCCAGAACGUCUAGAGGCUUGUAGAUUUCAAAAGGCUGCCAUGUACUUCUGCUCCUCUGCUUGUCUUUCAUGUGCCAAUUUUUUUUGCUAAUUUCAUUGCCUGGUGACACUCCAUGGCGGGUGCCUUGAUUCUUUUUCUUUCUUUCUUUUUUGUCUUCCUUACACUUUGUGUUGUUGUGUUCCAGACACCACAGUCUAGUUGUGUGAUCUUAUUUAUACGAGACGUUGUGGCCUGUGAUGGAGUCAAAAGCUGGAGCCUCUGCGGUGUCUCCCCCCUUAAUUUCCCCAACACUUUCCCCAUCAGCUCUUGCAGCCAUGCGGUCAUCCAGAAGUGGGGUGGGAAAAGUGGACAGGUGAGUAGAAGUCGGAGAGAGCCUUUCCACACAACCACUCGGGAGUCUGAUUCCAAUUUCUGAGCUUCUGUGACCCAAAGCAUUUUCCAAACUGCCCCGUGUUCUGCUUCAGCGCCUCCUGCCAAAGAGAGCCCACGGCCACGCCAAGGCGAGGCUGUCCCACUGCAGAGCGGCUUCCCUCGCAGGAGGUUCCUCCCCAUCUUGUGCCAGAGGUCCUUUUCCCCUGAAAUUUCCACUCAGUGGUUCCAGUUCUGUCCUUGAGAAAAACAAGAGAGCAGCCCACCCCCACCUUCUGCAUGGCAGCUCUUCAGGUAUGUAGAACUGCUAUCGCAACUCCCAGCUUGAACACACACUGCUCGUUCAGCCAUUCCUUGUUUUCCAGGCCUCUCAGCACCCAGGUCACCAUCCCAUAAUCACUGUAGUAGCCCAUGUCCCACCCAAAGGAAGACAGACACAUUGUUGGGGAUAUAGCUGUUUAUGACAAGUCAACAUGUGACAUUAGAGUAGAGAAGGGGCUGAUAAGUAAGAAAAUGUUUAUAGAUACUUGAGGAGAAUGUACUGAUUUUUGUAUUAAUAAAAUAGGAAGGGAUGUGUACCUUUGUGAGAGUCUAUCCAAAUUUGGAAAGGGAAUGGUGUUCCAUAGAGGGAGGAAAAGAUUAUAUCUAUAAAUGGUCCUAGGCGUUGGUGGGGGCACAUGAUUUGUAUAAUUGCUUUCAUUCUUUUGUGCUGCUAGAUGUUUUUAGGUUUGUAUAUUUUUUGUUUUACUGUUUUCUUUAAAUUAAAAAAAAACCAGAAUCACCCCCACCCAGACUAGGAUAUAUUCUAGAUGAUAAUUGUCCCUCCAAAAUAUAUAUUUUCUAAGCCCUCUGCAAGAGCAGAACUGCGUGACCAAAUCAGGAGC